rnacentral:rRNA from 1 species
UGGGGAAUUUUGGACAAUGGGCGAACUGGAUCCAGCAAUGCCGCGUGCAGGAAGAAGGCCUUCGGGUUGUAAACUGCUUUUGUACGGAACGAAACGGUCUGGGUUAAUACCCUGGGCUAAUGACGGUACCGUAAGAAUAAGCACCGGCUAACUCCGUG